AGUGAACGCUGGCGGUAGGCCUAACACAUGCGAGUCGAACGGCAGCACAGUAAGAGCUUGCUCUUACGGGUGGCGAGUGGCGGACGGGUGAGGAAUACAUCGGAAUCUACUUUUUCGUGGGGGAUAACGUAGGGAAACUUACGCUAAUACCGCAUACGACCUACGGGUGAAAGCAGGGGAUCUUCGGACCUUGCGCGAUUGAAUGAGCCGAUGUCGGAUUAGCUAGUUGGCGGGGUAAAGGCCCACCAAGGCGACGAUCCGUAGCUGGUCUGAGAGGAUGAUCAGCCACACUGGAGCUGAGACACGGUCCAGACUCCUACGGGAGGCAGCAGUGGGGAAUAUUGGACAAUGGGCGAAAGCCUGAUCCAGCCAUACCGCGUGGGUGAAGAAGGCCUUCGGGUUGUAAAGCCCUUUUGUUGGGAAAGAAAAGCAGCAGGUUAAGACCCCGCUGUUCGGACGGUACCCAAAGAAUAAGCACCGGCUAACUUCGG
rnacentral:rRNA from 1 species